CAGUUUCAACUUGUUGAGGACAAAUAUAGUGUAUAUGCGUAUCAAUUCCACCAGCGGUUAUUAUCAUAUUUUCACCUGCAAUGGCCUCAGUGCUUGCUCCGACAAUCAUAUUAGGAUAAACUCCAUCUUGAAUGUCUGGAUUACCUGCUUUUCCAAUUCCUACAAUUUUACCAUUUUUUAUACCAAUAUCAGAUUUUACAAUUCCCCAAUAGUCCAAAAUCAGAGCAUUUGUUAUAACAGUAUCUAAUGCUCCAUUAUGGGUUGCAGAUGUGGCAGAUGUGAUAGUAG
rnacentral:sRNA from 1 species